AUCCGUUUGUCUUCGGAGAAGAGACUUGAGUCGCCGCCGGUGAAUACUCUUCGAUACAAUCCGCCGUACGAUUCCUUUUACUCGGCUUCCUUUGUGCAGUGAGAAUGGGGAGCAAGGAUUUGAACACCUGGGUUUCGGAUAAGUUGAUGGUUCUGCUAGGCUAUUCACAAACUGAUGUUGUCAAGUAUCUAAUUGCCAAGGCUAAAAAAUCAGAAUCACCAGAUGAACUCGUGGGUGAGUUGUUGGAUUGCGGGCUUUCUUUGUCUGGUGAUACCCGUGCUUUUGCAGAAGAAAUUUAUGCCAGAGUUCCCCGUAAAACCACUGGUGUGAAUCUCUACCAGCAACAAGAAGCAGAGGCAGCGCUGCUGUUGAAGAAGCAAAAAAAAAAAUUCCCUUUUAGAGGCUGAUCACGAUGAAGAUGAAGGCAGUGCAGAGAAUCAAUCUGCUUUGGAAUCAGGAAAGUCAGAUAAAGGAAAAAAGAGGUUCAGAAAGAAAAUUGAGGAUUCGGAAGACUACGACGAUGAUGAGGCAAAUUGUUUUCUAUUCAAUGACAGACUUCCUUUUUUUCCUUUAUGGUGGUGAUUAUUAGAGAGGACAAAAGGAAUGUUAGGCGAAAGGUGUCCCAAGGCGAGGAUGAUGGCACUGAGUCUGAAGAGGAAAGAUUACGUGACCAAAGGGAGAGAGAAGA